UGNCNAUUAAUUAUAGGGCUGGUAUGAAGGGCCACAUGAGAGUCAAACUGUCUCUUAUAGCCCAUCAGUGAAACUGAUCUUACAGUUCAAAAGCUGUAAUAAACACAUAAGACGAGAAGACCCUGUGAAAUUUAAACUAUCCUUUGGCCCUUAUCCCAGAGGUACUUUUAGUUGGGGCGACUUUGGAACAGACAGAACUUCCAAACACACGGGGCACUUCCCACAACACAGGCCCACAAGCCUUUAUACGAUCCAGUAGACCUGACAAAUGAACCAAACUACUCCAGGGAUAACAGCGCAAUCUUCUUCAAGAGCCCAUAUCAAAAAGAAGGUUUACGACCUCGAUGUUGGAUCAGGGCACCCAAGCGGCGCACNCUGCUAAAGGUUCGUUUGUUCAACGAUUAACAGC
rnacentral:rRNA from 1 species